rnacentral:rRNA from 1 species
GACGAACGCUGGCGGCGUGCUUAACACAUGCAAGUCGAACGGAAAGGCCCUGCUUUUGUGGGGUGCUCGAGUGGCGAACGGGUGAGUAACACGUGAGUAACCUGCCCUUGACUUUGGGAUAACUUCAGGAAACUGGGGCUAAUACCGGAUAGGAGCUCCUGCUGCAUGGUGGGGGUUGGAAAGUUUCGGCGGUUGGGGAUGGACUCGCGGCUUAUCAGCUUGUUGGUGGGGUAGUGGCUUACCAAGGCUUUGACGGGUAGCCGGCCUGAGAGGGUGACCGGCCACAUUGGGACUGAGAUACGGCCCAAACUCCUACGGGAGGCAGCAGUGGGGAAUAUUGCACAAUGGGCGGAAGCCUGAUGCAGCAACGCCGCGUGCGGGAUGACGGCCUUCGGGUUGUAAACCGCUUUCGCCUGUGACGAAGCGUGAGUGACGGUAAUGGGUAAAGAAGCACCGGCUAACUACGUGCCAGCAGCCGCGGUGAUACGUAGGGUGCGAGCGUUGUCCGGAUUUAUUGGGCGUAAAGGGCUCGUAGGUGGUUGAUCGCGUCGGAAGUGUAAUCUUGGGGCUUAACCCUGAGCGUGCUUUCGAUACGGGUUGACUUGAGGAAGGUAGGGGAGAAUGGAAUUCCUGGUGGAGCGGUGGAAUGCGCAGAUAUCAGGAGGAACACCAGUGGCGAAGGCGGUUCUCUGGGCCUUUCCUGACGCUGAGGAGCGAAAGCGUGGGGAGCGAACAGGCUUAGAUACCCUGGUAGUCCACGCUGUAAACGGUGGGUACUAGGUGUGGGGUCCAUUCCACGGGUUCCGUGCCGUAGCUAACGCUUUAAGUACCCCGCCUGGGGAGUACGGCCGCAAGGCUAAAACUCAAAGGAAUUGACGGGGCCUCGCACAAGCGGCGGAGCAUGCGGAUUAAUUCGAUGCAACGCGUAGAACCUUACCUGGGUUUGACAUGGAUCGGGAGUGCUCAGAGAUGGGUGUGCCUCUUUUGGGGUCGGUUCACAGGUGGUGCAUGGCUGUCGUCAGCUCGUGUCGUGAGAUGUUGGGUUAAGUCCCGCAACGAGCGCAACCCUUGUUCACUGUUGCCAGCACGUUAUGGUGGGGACUCAGUGGAGACCGCCGGGGUCAACUCGGAGGAAGGUGGGGAUGACGUCAAGUCAUCAUGCCCCUUAUGUCCAGGGCUUCACGCAUGCUACAAUGGCUGGUACAGAGAGUGGCGAGCCUGUGAGGGUGAGCGAAUCUCGGAAAGCCGGUCUCAGUUCGGAUUGGGGUCUGCAACUCGACCUCAUGAAGUCGGAGUCGCUAGUAAUCGCAGAUCAGCAACGCUGCGGUGAAUACGUUCCCGGG